AAGCCACGCUGUCCGAUAUGUCCCAGUCUGUGGCAGAACAGCGACAGAGCAAUGACCUGCAGGGCUAGCUAGAUAUUUAUUGUUCGGAGGACGUUAGAGCCAUAUGUUAAACACCUACGCUCCCUGGGUUCCCGCUAACAACACACUACCUCUAUCCAAGCAAUCCAGAUUGUUCUUCAAUUUUGAUGCAGAUUAUUUCCCGAAGAUCACCAUGCUUGAUUCCAUGGAAAGUGAGCAGAUGUCUGUACUUCUGUCAAUAUUCAUGGACAGGUAUGUAACAGGUACCACAGACGAGGUAUACAACAGGAGGAGGGCAACUGUAUUAGUGGAUCGAUAAUUUAAUCUUAUCGUGGACCUUUUUUAAACUAUAGGCGUUGGAAGUGAUGGAGAUGGAGGUGGUGUAGCGGACUCAGAUUUAGAUAGUAUGAUGAUAGACACAAACGUAACAGUAAUGUAUCCUGGACAGUGUAUUCCUCCAAAUAUGGCAUGCAAAACUAUUCUGUAUAUGAGGAAGGCAGACUGCCGCCCUGGUUAUGUCAACUUACACCUAGGUCAGAUAGGACAGGAAGGACAGCACAGUACAGAAAUGAUACGUAAUUCACUCGUAAGAAUUGCGAAUUUAACCUUCGUUUCGAGUGAUAUCUACAGGGAGCAUAAUAUCAGUUUCGUUAAUAAAGCGACAGGUGUGAAACAUGAAUCCAAUUGGCCAAGCUGUUCAUUUAAGUCAAAAAUAGACUGUGUUAGGUGCUUCUCGUGUAAAAGUUGGCCAAAGGAGGCUAAGGAAUGGGUUACACGUACACGUCUGUAUGGAUGGCCACAUAAAACCUUGAUAAAGAAGAUUGUAGACGGAGGUUGUUUUCUUGUGCCAAUAGGAGACAAAUGUUCUGAAGACACAUUUUUGCAAUGGCGACUAUCAUUUGCACCAGCAGAGACAUCUUUAGUUACCUCAUUUAGUCACAUUCAAUUUAAAGUGUAUAUGUUGCUGAAACUUUUCUUAAAAGUAAUAAAAGAGACAUUAAAGGAAACCAUCGGGGAUGACGAUAUCUUGUACUCCUAUUUUUUGAAGACAACUCUUUUCCAUGCAAUUGAGAAUUCCAACCAAAUGUUCUGGCAAGACAAACACUUAUUUUAUUGUUUUUGGUUUUGCUUGAACAUACUUAUUGCUUGGGUGAGGGCAGGAUUCUGUCCCAAUUACUUCUUCCCAACCGACAACUUGUUCCAAAGGAAAGUACAUGGACUAUCUCAACAAAUACUACUGGACUGUUUAAACAACUACUGUUUGAUGAAAUGGGAGUGUCUUUCAUGUCUUUCAUUUGGAAGGCCCUUCGACCUCUCAAUUUGGAAGUUUCUGUGUAAAACCGUAAAUCAAGAUAAACUUGUAUGCCCCCAAACUGUACAGGAAAUUGCUUGUCGGCAAGAUCAAGAAAUAAUUCACUCUACAGUGGGCAACCCACCACACCCUUUUAAUCUAAGGGAAAUGAAGGUAGCUAUUCAUUUACUAUCUACAUCACAUUCAGAUAUUGAUGAAGUUUUUACUUAUAUCCGUGCAAUAAAAUUCCUACUAGGAUUCGCUACAGAGCAAGUGUAUCCAGAUCACAUGGUCGCUACAGACAAUAAGUUACGGUAUAGGAGUUUAAGAAAAUGUAAACGCCUGAUGGCUCCAAUAGCCUCAAUGGGCACAGGGCUGUUGCAUUUGGCAACCUUUUGUUUCCUGACUGGGGAUGUUAGUAGAGCCCUGACGAUGUGCCAACAAGUUAUGAGACUAGCAUCAACUUAUACUACAAGCUGCCGUCAGAUACCACAUGCAAUGUUUCUGCAUGGGUAUCGUCCACAAAGACAAACAUUAGACAGGUUACGGAAAAUGUACACCGCCUGUAUUAUAUUUGAAGACAUCAACGUUUGUCUGCCACAUCUCUAUAUGGAAUUGUCAAAAUGGCCUAAUGAAGAAAUAAUUAUCCCACCACUACCGUAUGCUGUGUUCCUGUAUUUUCUGUGCUGUCAUGAGCUCGGAGAUACCAGAGGACGUGAUAAAGCAUUACGCCACCUGAUAAAGGUUCAGUAUGAUGACAAACAAGGAGGAAAUCGUUUCUAUAUAGUUCACACUAUACUGGGGAUCUGUUACCAAACUAUCGGGGACAAUCACCGGGCCAUCAGGGCUUACUGGGAGUCGGCACAAUCAAACAAUGCGACUGCUUAUUAUGAGGGGAAUCCGGCCAUUAAGAGGAUAACUGUGGUGUAUUUAUGUAUGUAUGCGUUACAAAGGUCUGAUAGAGGAUAGCUGUGGUGUAUCUAUGUAUGUAUGUCUGACAGAGGAUAACUGUGGUGUAUCUAUGUAUGUAUGUCUCACAGAGGUCUGAUAGAGAAUCUAUGUAUGUAUGUCUCAAAGAGGUCUGAUAGAGGAUGUCUCACAGAGGUCUGACUGAGAAUAGCUGUGGUGUAUCUAUGUAUGCAUGUCUCACAGAGGUCUGAUAGAGUAUAGCUGUGGUGUAAUUAUGUAUGUAUGUCUCACAGAGGUCAGAUAGAGGAUCUAUGUAUGUAUGUCUCACAGAGGUCUGAUAGAGAAUCUAUGUAUGUAUGUCUCACAGAGGUCUAAUACAGGAUCUAUGUAGGUAUGUCUCACAGAGGUCUGACAGAGCUGUGGUGUAUCUAUGUAGGUAUGUCUCACAGAGGUCAGAUAGAGGAUCUAUGUAUGUAUGUCUCACAGAGGUCUGAUAGAGGAUCUAUGUAUGUAUGUCUCACAGAGGUCCGAUAGAGAAUCUAUGUAUGUAUGUCUCACAGAGGUCUGAUAGAGAAUCUAUG